GGGUGGCGGCCCCAUCCCUGUGUCCGAGCCUCUCCGUGCCGGGAGCAGCCGAAAGCGAAAGCGCCGCCACCGGGAGAGGUGUCAAAGAGGACCUUGGCCAGGAGGAUCCCUCUCCAUGAGUCCAACCCACCUUGCCAGGAGAGCUGCCAUGCAGAGGCUCCAGGCUGGGUACCCAGCUUCAAAGGAGCAGCCGGCUCCCAGGGGCCAUGGAGACAGAGGAAAUGGCUCUGUGAAACAAGAGACAUCGUUAUCUAACAAAGCGCAGGUUUGGCAGCAUUUUACAUGAUUAAAGCAGUUAGGCACUCUC